CAACAAAUGAACGAAUAACUACAUAAUGACUGAUAAUGAUAAGUGAUAAUAAUAACUUUAAUGAUAUGAAGGCUGAUGAAGUUUUAGACAACCAAUACAAGAUUUAGAACUUGACAUCGUGAUAAACAAAUUGUACAUUCAGGAACUCGUUUAAAUAUUAUAGGUUGAUUGACGAAUACUCUACAGUUGAUUAGAGCCCAUGAUGAUGCGAAGAUAAUUAAUAUCACCUAACUUCAAGAAACCAGCAUAAAGAAGUUUACAUUCAUAACUCAUCUAACCAUUAUAGAUCAGUAAUGUCGUCAUAAUUUAAAUGAACUCACAGAUAGCAAUGGGGCACUGCACCGAAGCAGUAUUAC